rnacentral:misc_RNA from 1 species
GAUGAAGAACGUAGCGAAAUGCGAUAAGUAAUGUGAAUUGCAGAAUUCAGUGAAUCAUCGAAUCUUUGAACGCACAUUGCGCCCCCUGGUAUUCCGGGGGGCAUGCCUGUCCGAGCGUCAUUGCUGCCCUCAAGCCCGGCUUGUGUGUUGGGUCUCGUCCCCCUUCCCGGGGGGACGGGCCCGAAAGGCAGCGGCGGCACCGCGUCCGGUCCUCGAGCGUAUGGGGCUUUGUCACCCGCUCUGUAGGCCCGGACGGCGCUUGCCGAUCAACCAAAACUUUUUUCCAGGUUGACCUCGGAUCAGGUAGGGAUACCCGCUGAACUUAAGCAUAUCAAUAAGCGGAGGA